rnacentral:rRNA from 1 species
UACGUAGGCAGCGAGCGUUGUUCGGAGUUACUGGGCGUAAAGGGUGCGUAGGCGGUUGUUUAAGUUUGGUGUGAAAUCUCCCGGCUCAACUGGGAGGGUGCGCCGAAUACUGAAUGACUAGAGUGCGGGAGAGGAUAGUGGAACUCCUGGUGUAGCGGUGAAAUGCGUAGAUAUCAGGAGGAACACCGGUGGUGUAGACGGCUAUCUGGACCGUAACUGACGCUGAGGCACGAAAGCGUGGGUAGCAAACAGG